rnacentral:tRNA from 3 species
GUGGGUAUAGCUCAGUUGGUUAGAGCGCCAGAUUGUGGCUCUGGAGGUCGUGAGUUCGACUCUCAUUACCCACCCCA